rnacentral:rRNA from 1 species
CCUACGGGAGGCAGCAGUGGGGAAUAUUGGACAAUGGGCGAAAGCCUGAUCCAGCAAUGCCGCGUGAGUGAUGAAGGCCUUAGGGUUGUAAAGCUCUUUUACCCGGGAUGAUAAUGACAGUACCGGGAGAAUAAGCCCCGGCUAACUCCGUGCCAGCAGCCGCGGUAAUACGGAGGGGGCUAGCGUUGUUCGGAAUUACUGGGCGUAAAGCGCGCGUAGGCGGCUUUGUAAGUCAGAGGUGAAAGCCUGGAGCUCAACUCCAGAACUGCCUUUGAAACUACAUCGCUAGAAUCAUGGAGAGGUUAGUGGAAUUCCGAGUGUAGAGGUGAAAUUCGUAGAUAUUCGGAAGAACACCAGUGGCGAAGGCGACUAACUGGACAUGUAUUGACGCUGAGGUGCGAAAGCGUGGGGAGCAAACAGGAUUAGAUACCCCAGUAGUC